rnacentral:rRNA from 1 species
UUUGUUCCCUAAAUAGGGACUUGUAUGAAUGGCCCACGAGGGCUUUACUGUCUCUUACUUCCAAUCCGUGAAAUUGACCUUCCCGUGAAGAGGCGGGAAUACAACAAUAAGACGAGAAGACCCUAUGGAGCUUUAAUUAACCGACCCAAAGAGACCCAUUAAUUUCAACCGACAGGAACAACAAACCUCUAUAUGGGCCGACAAUUUAGGUUGGGGUGACCUCGGAGAACAGAACAACCUCCGAGUGAUUUAAAUCAAGACUAACCAGUCGAAAGUAUUACAUCACUUAUUGAUCCAAAAGUUUGAUCAACGGAACAAGUUACCCU